GAGAAAGCGUUGCCGCAGGCAACGACCCAAAGGGCGAAGCGCGCAGCGCUGAGUAAUCCUUCCCCCACCACCA
rnacentral:sRNA from 1 species